rnacentral:lncRNA from 1 species
UACUAGCUAGUUGAGUACUAAAGUCUUAACUCUAAAAACCUCCCCUGAUAUAUGGCUACGACCUACAGGUGAUAGCCCAUGUGCUAAUGAUAGUCCACUGCCUUCUUGGUAGUUGUAACAGCUCCUCUCAGAUUUCAUUCUUAGUCAGUUCGAGAGUAGCAGCAGCAGUAUGGGAGGUACUUGAUGAACAAUUUACAACUUACGUGAUGUAUUGUAUGUAAUGUGUUCCUAGUUUUACUAAAUAAGUUUUAACGACAAAACUGUAUGAAUCAGCAAGCUAUAAUAAAGCUCUCUAACUCAGCCAACAUUUUAGAACACUUGGACUGUGUUAGUUUAAUUCAGCAGUGAACUUAAAUAGAUAUUUUUCUAUAAGUGAAAAUAUAUAAUAUUUAUUGCUAUCUGAUGAGGGGUAACGAUGCUUCUACUUUAAUGAGCCAUGCUGAUUUUAACUCAUGUAGUCACGUGCAGCCGCUGCUGGUGCUGUGCGAUGUGUUGGUCGCCGUAGGAUGAAGACGAGCAUGUUCUAGCUACUGGUGCUGCAUAGGGAGGGGCUCAUCGGCUCCCGACUCUACAAGACGCUGGUGCUGAACUGCUAACUCACGGCUUCUACU